rnacentral:rRNA from 1 species
AUUGAACGCUGGCGGCAUGCCUUACACAUGCAAGUCGAACGGUAACAGGUCUUCGGAUGCUGACGAGUGGCGAACGGGUGAGUAAUACAUCGGAACGUGCCUAGUAGUGGGGGAUAACUACUCGAAAGAGUGGCUAAUACCGCAUGAGAUCUACGGAUGAAAGCAGGGGAUCGCAAGACCUUGUGCUACUAGAGCGGCCGAUGGCAGAUUAGGUAGUUGGUGGGAUAAAAGCUUACCAAGCCGACGAUCUGUAGCUGGUCUGAGAGGACGAUCAGCCACACUGAGAAUGAGACACGGACCAAACUCCGACGGGAGGCAGCGGUGGGGAAUUUUGGGCAAUGGGCGCAGGCCUGAUCCAGCAAUGCCGCGUGCAGGAUGAAGGCCUUCGGGUUGUGAACUGCUUUUGUACGGAACGAAAAGCCCUGGGUUAAUACCCUGGGGUCAUGACGGUACCGUAAGAAUAAGCACCGGCUAACUACGUGCCAGCAGCCGCCGUAAAAC